UGGGGUAUCAAACACCUGACCCGACCUUGUUGUCACCUGGUAAAUGUCAGCACAGAAUUUCCUUAAAGCAGUUGCAGUGAGUUUGCACCACAAGCCCAGCACCAAGAGCAGCUCUGUUGCCUUUGUGGCAGUCCUUCAAAUAGAUGCUCCCAUUGACUAGAGACCUCCCUGCCCAGUCUUCUCUCCAUCACAAAUUCAGCUGCUGAAUGGAUGGACUUCUACGGGUCAGAACUGAAGCUUGGGAUAGAGGACACAGUUCCAUCUCUGGUUGGUGAAGCAUAAAAAAGAGCUGUCAUGCCCAGUUUUAAUAGGCAAUAGGAUUUCAAGCCCCAAGAGUUGUUUCACAGUCUGGCAGUGGCCAUAAUGAAACUGGCCACUGUUGCCACAAGACUUUUUCCUCUCCUGCGUUCUCCCUUGCUACCUCCCACAGCUGCCUGACUGGCAGGUCUCUUGCAAACUGCAAACAUAUUUACAUUGGAGCUGUUAGCGUUUCUUUAGCUAUCCGUGUCAUCUCUUUUUUUUUUUUUGCCUAGCUAGGAACUCAACCUUAGGUCUAGUUUUAAAGGAUAAAAUUAAACUCUGCAUGCAAUUAACUGCCUUUGCGCUCCAACAGCAGUUCUUUUUCAUGUGUUUUGUUGGGAAGCAAAUAGCUUGUUUGUUUGUUUGUUUUUUC
ensembl:lncRNA